rnacentral:rRNA from 1 species
GCAGGCGGGUUUGUAAGUCUGAUGUGAAAUACCCCGGGCCUCAACCUCGGGAAGUUAGCAUUGGAGACUGCAAGGCUAGAAUCUGGCAGGAGGGGGGUAGAAUUCCCACGUGUAGCAGUGAAAUGCGUAGAUAUGUGGAGGAACACCGAUGGCGAAGGCAGCCCCCCUGGGUCAAGAUUGACGCUCAUGCACGAAAGCGUGGGGAGCAAACAGGAUUAGAUACCCCGGGU